rnacentral:rRNA from 1 species
AUUGAACGCUGGCGGCAGGCUUAACACAUGCAAGUCGAGCGGGGGAAGGUAGCUUGCUACUGGACCUAGCGGCGGACGGGUGGGUAAUGCUUAGGAAUCUGCCUAUUAGUGGGGGACAACAUCUCGAAAGGGAUGCUAAUACCGCAUACGUCCUACGGGAGAAAGCAGGGGAUCUUCGGACCUUGCGCUAAUAGAUGAGCCUAAGUCGGAUUAGCUAGUUGGUGGGGUAAAGGCCUACCAAGGCGACGAUCUGUAGCGGGUCUGAGAGGAUGAUCCGCCACACUGGGACUGAGACACGGCACAGACUCCUACGGGAGGCAGCAGUGGGGAAUAUUGGACAAUGGGGGGGAACCCUGAUCCAGCCAUGCCGCGUGUGUGAAGAAGGCCUUAUGGUUGUAAAGCACUUUAAGCGAGGAGGAGGCUCUCUUGGUUAAUACCCAAGAUGAGUGGACGUUACUCGCAGAAUAAGCACCGGCUAACUCUGUGCCAGCCGCCGCCGUAA